rnacentral:rRNA from 1 species
GACGAACGCUGGCGGCGUGCUUAACACAUGCAAGUCGAACGGAAAGGCCCUGCUUUUGUGGGGUGCUCGAGUGGCGAACGGGUGAGUAACACGUGAGUAACCUGCCCUUGACUUUGGGAUAACUUUAGGAAACUGGGGCUAAUACCGGAUAGGAGCUCCUGCUGCAUGGUGGGGGUUGGAAAGUUUCGGCGGUUGGGGAUGGACUCGAGGGUUAUCAGCUUGUUGGUGGGGUAGUGGGUUACCAAGGUUUUGAAGGGUAGGCGGCCUUGGAGGGGGGACCGGCUCAAUAGGCCCAGGGAAAGGGCCCAUAGUCCUCCGGAAGCAAUGGUGGAGAAAAUUUCGCAAAAGGGCGGAGUCCGAGGUGAGCACCGCCGGGUCGGGAAUAACGGCUUUCGGGUGGAAACCGCUUUCGCCUGUGACGAAGCGUGAGUGACGGUAAUGGGUAAAGAAGCACCGGCUAACUACGUG